rnacentral:lncRNA from 1 species
AGAGAUGGUGAGUGAAGGAGAGAUGGAGAGAGAUGGUAAGAGAUGGUGAGAGAUGGAGAGUGAAACAGAGAGAUGGUGAGAAACAGAGAUGGUGAGAGAAACAGAGCGAUGAUGGGAGAAACAGAGAGAUGGUGAGAGAUGGUGAGAGAAAAAGAGAGAUGGAGAGAGAAACAGAGAGAUGGAGAGAGAAACAGAGAGAUGGUGAGAGAAACAGAUAGAGAUGGAGAGAGAAACAGAGAGAUGGUGAGAGAAAAGAGAGAUGGUGAGAGAAGGAGGAAAAUGGUGAGAGAAGGUGAGAGAAAGAGAGAGAUGGUGAGAGAGAGAUGGUGAGAGAAACAGAGAGAUGGUGAGAGAUGGUGAGGGAAACAGAGAGAUGGUGAGAGAUGGUGAGGGAAACAGAGAGAUGGUGAGAGAUGGUGAGAGAAACAGAGAGAUGGUGAGAGAAACAGAGAUGGUGAGAGAAACAGAGAGAUGGUGAGAGAAGGAGGAAAAUGGUGAGAGAAGGUGAGAGAAAGAGAGAGAUGGUGAGAGAUGGUGAGAGAGAUGGUGAGAGAAACAGAGAGAAAGUGAGAGAUAGUGAGAGAAACAGAGAGAUGGUGAGAGAUGGUGAGAGAAAAGAGAGAUGGUGAGAGAAACAGAGAGAUGGUGAGAGAAACAGAGAGAUGGUGAGAGAAAAGAGAGAUGGUGAGAGAAACAGAGAGAUGGUGAGAGAAAGAGAGAUGUGAGAGAAACAGAGAGAUGGUGAGAGAUGGUGAGAGAAACAGAGAGAUGGUGAGCUGGUGUGACAUUCUGAGAUCAGGAUGAAUGGGUAGCGGCUCCUGGUGACUGAGAUUGCUUUAUAGCAUUUCAUUUGGUUUGUUCCACUGCUUGGGUGAGCACAGCCCCGGUUAUGGAUUUAUAUUCUAAUGCGCUGGAGCAGGCGCUGAGAGAGGCCAAUGAGGCAGCUGCUGGAGCAGGGGGG